CCCUUUGGGUGUGACUGCGUACCUUUUGUAUAAUGGGUCAGCGACUUAUAUUCUGUAGCAAGGUUAACCGAAUAGGGGAGCCGGAGGGAAACCGAGUCUUAACCGGGCGUUAAGUUGCAGGGUAUAGACCCGAAACCCGGUGAUCUAGCCAUGGGCAGGUUGAAGGUUGGGUAACACUAACUGGAGGACCGAACCGACUAAUGUUGAAAAAUUAGCGGAUGACCUGUGGCUGGGGGUGAAAGGCCAAUCAAACCGGGAGAUAGCUGGUUCUCCCCGAAAGCUAUUUAGGUAGCGCCUCGUGAAUUCAUCUCCGGGGGUAGAGCACUGUUUCGGCUAGGGGGCCAUCCCGGCUUACCAACCCGAUGCAAACUGCGAAUACCGGAGAAUGUUAUCACGGGAGACACACGGCGGGUGCUAACGUCCGUCGUGAAGAGGGAAACAACCCAGACCGCCAGCUAAGGUCCCAAAGUCAUGGUUAAGUGGGAAACGAUGUGGGAAGGCCCAGACAGCCAGGAUGUUGGCUUAGAAGCAGCCAUCAUUUAAAGAAAGCGUAAUAGCUCACUGGUCGAGUCGGCCUGCGCGGAAGAUGUAACGGGGCUAAACCAUGCACCGAAGCUGCGGCAGCGACACUGUGUGUUGUUGGGUAGGGGAGCGUUCUGUAAGCCUGUGAAGGUGUGUCGUGAGGCAUGCUGGAGGUAUCAGAAGUGCGAAUGCUGACAUAAGUAACGAUAAAGCGGGUGAAAAGCCCGCUCGCCGGAAGACCAAGGGUUCCUGUCCAACGUUAAUCGGGGCAGGGUGAGUCGACCCCUAAGGCGAGGCCGAAAGGCGUAGUCGAUGGGAAACGGGUUAAUAUUCCCGUACUUGGUGUUACUGCGAAGGGGGGACGGAGAAGGCUAUGUUGGCCGGGCGACGGUUGUCCCGGUUUAAGCGUGUAGGUGUGUGUUCCAGGUAAAUCCGGUUCACUUUAACACUGAGGCGUGACGACGAGGCACUACGGUGCUGAAGCAACAAAUGCCCUGCUUCCAGGAAAAGCCUCUAAGCAUCAGGUAACAUCAAAUCGUACCCCAAACCGACACAGGUGGUCAGGUAGAGAAUACCAAGGCGCUUGAGAGAACUCGGGUGAAGGAACUAGGCAAAAUGGUGCCGUAACUUCGGGAGAAGGCACGCUGACACGUAGGUGAAGUGAUUUACUCAUGGAGCUGAAGUCAGUCGAAGAUACCAGCUGGCUGCAACUGUUUAUUAAAAACACAGCACUGUGCAAACACGAAAGUGGACGUAUACGGUGUGACGCCUGCCCGGUGCCGGAAGGUUAAUUGAUGGGGUCAGCGCAAGCGAAGCUCCUGAUCGAAGCCCCGGUAAACGGCGGCCGUAACUAUAACGGUCCUAAGGUAGCGAAAUUCCUUGUCGGGUAAGUUCCGACCUGCACGAAUGGCGUAAUGAUGGCCAGGCUGUCUCCACCCGAGACUCAGUGAAAUUGAACUCGCUGUGAAGAUGCAGUGUACCCGCGGCAAGACGGAAAGACCCCGUGAACCUUUACUAUAGCUUGACACUGAACAUUGAGCCUUGAUGUGUAGGAUAGGUGGGAGGCUUUGAAGUGUGGACGCCAGUCUGCAUGGAGCCGACCUUGAAAUACCACCCUUUAAUGUUUGAUGUUCUAACGUGGACCCGUUACCCGGGUUGCGGACAGUGUCUGGUGGGUAGUUUGACUGGGGCGGUCUCCUCCUAAAGAGUAACGGAGGAGCACGAAGGUUGGCUAAUCCUGGUCGGACAUCAGGAGGUUAGUGCAAUGGCAUAAGCCAGCUUGACUGCGAGCGUGACGGCGCGAGCAGGUGCGAAAGCAGGUCAUAGUGAUCCGGUGGUUCUGAAUGGAAGGGCCAUCGCUCAACGGAUAAAAGGUACUCCGGGGAUAACAGGCUGAUACCGCCCAAGAGUUCAUAUCGACGGCGGUGUUUGGCACCUCGAUGUCGGCUCAUCACAUCCUGGGGCUGAAGUAGGUCCCAAGGGUAUGGCUGUUCGCCAUUUAAAGUGGUACGCGAGCUGGGUUUAGAACGUCGUGAGACAGUUCGGUCCCUAUCUGCCGUGGGCGCUGGAGAACUGAGGGGGGCUGCUCCUAGUACGAGAGGACCGGAGUGGACGCAUCACUGGUGUUCGGGUUGUCAUGCCAAUGGCACUGCCCGGUAGCUAAAUGCGGAAGAGAUAAGUGCUGAAAGCAUCUAAGCACGAAACUUGCCCCGAGAUGAGUUCUCCCUGAGACUUAGAGUCUCCUGAAGGAACGUUGAAGACGACGACGUUGAUAGGCCGGGUGUGUAAGCGCAGCGAUGCGUUGAGCUAACCGGU
rnacentral:rRNA from 1 species